AAUUCAUUGACCCUAGCAAGACUACCAAAAGCGAAAGCAGUUGACUAGGCUAUACUCUUUGUGAUUUACGCCGAAUAUAUUUUACGCCAUACCCUACACACGCAGCACGUGAGAUAUAUUUACGCGUAUCUAACACUUUACAAUGAAGAACGAAGGUUGGGGGAUCAAAGAGGAUCAGAUACCCUCGUCGUCCCAUUUGUUACAUCAAACGAUGGGCUCUCAAUUGCAUUUCUCACGAGAUAUGCUAAAUAUCCUCAGCCUGCAAAUAUUAUUUAGCUUGAGCUUGUGUCUUCGGAUACGCUCGCUUUAUACAUAUUACACUGUAUGGUCUCGACGGACGUUUCAUAUUCUUUACAAUAUUUUGCGUGUAAGCUUUAUGUCAUCUGCUUGAAACAUAGCGAUACAUAGCGUGCACUUGAUUUUCGGAGCUUUGCGCUCAAAUUUUCUGGUGAGAUGUAAGCAUCAUGUUAUUACGCCCGCUCACAUAUACCUCGGUAUUUUGUGCAGUCGCGUUUGCGUCUUAACAAUUAUUAUCGAUGUGAAGCACGCAUUAGGCACGCGCUUACUGCAGAAAUGUCUGAGACAUUCACUUCCGGGGGAAGUAUGUACGCAAGUAUGAAACUUGAAGGAAUUGACGGAAGGGCACCACAAGAACGCGUGGAGCAUGUGGCUUAAUUU
rnacentral:rRNA from 1 species